GUGCUUGCUUUGGCAGCACAUAUAUUAAAAUUGGAAUAAUACAGAGAAGAUUAGCAUCACUCCAGCUCAAGAAUGACAUGAAAAUUUGUAAAGCGUUCCAUGUUUUA